AGUCCUUGAGGGACAAGAAAGUGGAGCCCAGGACUUUCCAGUCCCCACCUAGUGAUCAACGUCUCACCCACGGUCAGGGGAGCAACUGGUGGUUCUACUUUUUUGAAUUCUGAAGGCAAAGGCAAGCUUUUUUUAGGGGUCCUGCUGUUGGCAGAGAAAGCUCCCAAGAGUUCUGCAGAGAAGAAGGAUAUAGACUCCAAAAUUUUACUUCCAGGGACCAUUUCAGUAGAGCCUUUUAAGACACAUGUUUUGGAAUACAGUCAAAUGCGUGCUGCUGUAUGACCAGCCUAUUUGAUUAUGCCUCCAAAUCCUACAGAAGUAUAACAACCAUAGAACAGACAAACACCAACAGCAUCAACAACAGAGAAACUCAGUCCAGGAGGAUAUGAAACCCUUUGUAAUAAAGAAAGCAACAUCCAU
ensembl:lncRNA ROCR regulator of chondrogenesis RNA